ACUUAUAUUUUGUAGCAAGGUUAACCGUAUAGGGGAGCCGUAGGGAAACCGAGUCUUAACUGGGCGAAUAGUUGCAAGGUAUAGACCCGAAACCCGGUGAUCUAGCCAUGGGCAGGUUGAAGGUUGGGUAACACUAACUGGAGGACCGAACCGACUAAUGUUGAAAAAUUAGCGGAUGACUUGUGGCUGGGGGUGAAAGGCCAAUCAAACCGGGAGAUAGCUGGUUCUCCCCGAAAGCUAUUUAGGUAGCGCCUCGUGAACUCAUCUUCGGGGGUAGAGCACUGUUUCGGCUAGGGGGCCAUCCCGGCUUACCAAACCGAUGCAAACUCCGAAUACCGAAGAAUGUUAUCACGGGAGACACACGGCGGGUGCUAACGUCCGUCGUGAAGAGGGAAACAACCCAGACCGCCAGCUAAGGUCCCAAAGUCAUGGUUAAGUGGGAAACGAUGUGGGAAGGCAUAGACAGCCAGGAUGUUGGCUUAGAAGCAGCCAUCAUUUAAAGAAAGCGUAAUAGCUCACUGGUCGAGUCGGCCUGCGCGGAAGAUGUAACGGGGCUAAACCAUGCACCGAAGCUGCGGCAGCGACGCUUAGGCGUUGUUGGGUAGGGGAGCGUUCUGUAAGCCGUUGAAGGUGGCCUGUGAGGGUUGCUGGAGGUAUCAGAAGUGCGAAUGCUGACAUAAGUAACGAUAAAGCGGGUGAAAAGCCCGCUCGCCGGAAGACCAAGGGUUCCUGUCCAACGUUAAUCGGGGCAGGGUGAGUCGACCCCUAAGGCGAGGCUGAAAAGCGUAGUCGAUGGGAAACAGGUUAAUAUUCCUGUACUUGGUGUUACUGCGAAGGGGGGACGGAGAAGGCUAGGCUGGCCGGGCGACGGUUGUCCCGGUUUAAGCGUGUAGGGGGUGUGACCUGGUAAAUCCGGUUGCAUACUAACCCUGAGGCGUGAUGACGAUGCACUACGGUGCAGAAGUAGUUGAUGCCCUGCUUCCAGGAAAAUCCUCUAAGCUCCAGGUAACAUUAAAUCGUACCCCAAACCGACACAGGUGGUCAGGUAGAGAAUACCAAGGCGCUUGAGAGAACUCGGGUGAAGGAACUAGGCAAAAUGGUGCCGUAACUUCGGGAGAAGGCACGCUGGCAUGUAGGUGAAGUCCCUUGCGGAUGGAGCUGAAGCCAGUCGAAGAUACCAGCUGGCUGCAACUGUUUAAUAAAAACACAGCACUGUGCAAACACGAAAGUGGACGUAUACGGUGUGACGCCUGCCCGGUGCUGGAAGGUUAAUUGAUGGGGUCAGCCGCAAGGCGAAGCUCUUGAUCGAAGCCCCAGUAAACGGCGGCCGUAACUAUAACGGUCCUAAGGUAGCGAAAUUCCUUGUCGGGUAAGUUCCGACCUGCACGAAUGGCGUAAUGAUGGCCAGGCUGUCUCCACCCGAGACUCAGUGAAAUUGAACUCGCUGUGAAGAUGCAGUGUACCCGCGGCAAGACGGAAAGACCCCGUGAACCUUUACUAUAGCUUGACACUGAACAUUGAGCCUUGAUGUGUAGGAUAGGUGGGAGGCUUUGAAGCGUGGACGCCAGUCUGCGUGGAGCCAUCCUUGAAAUACCACCCUUUAAUGUUUGAUGUUCUAACUCGGCCCCGUGAUCCGGGGUGAGGACAGUGUCUGGUGGGUAGUUUGACUGGGGCGGUCUCCUCCCAAAGAGUAACGGAGGAGCACGAAGGUUAGCUAAUCACGGUCGGACAUCGUGAGGUUAGUGCAAAGGCAUAAGCUAGCUUGACUGCGAGAGUGACGGCUCGAGCAGGUACGAAAGUAGGUCUUAGUGAUCCGGUGGUUCUGAAUGGAAGGGCCAUCGCUCAACGGAUAAAAGGUACUCCGGGGAUAACAGGCUGAUACCGCCCAAGAGUUCAUAUCGACGGCGGUGUUUGGCACCUCGAUGUCGGCUCAUCACAUCCUGGGGCUGAAGUAGGUCCCAAGGGUAUGGCUGUUCGCCAUUUAAAGUGGUACGCGAGCUGGGUUUAGAACGUCGUGAGACAGUUCGGUCCCUAUCUGCCGUGGGCGUUGGAAGAUUGAGAGGGGUUGCUCCUAGUACGAGAGGACCGGAGUGAACGCACCACUGGUGUUCGGGUUGUCAUGCCAAUGGCAUUGCCCGGUAGCUAAGUGCGGAAAAGAUAAGCGCUGAAAGCAUCUAAGCGCGAAACUUGCCUCAAGAUGAGUCUUCCCUUGGACUUUGAGUCCACUGAAGGAACGUUUAAGACUAAGACGUUGAUAGGCUGGGUGUGUAAGUGCAGCGAUGCAUUGAGCUAACCAGUACUAAUGAUCCGUGAGGCUUAACCUU
rnacentral:rRNA from 1 species